rnacentral:rRNA from 1 species
AGCGAACGCUGGCGGCAGGCUUAACACAUGCAAGUCGAGCGGGCGUAGCAAUACGUCAGCGGCAGACGGGUGAGUAACGCGUGGGAACGUACCUUUUGGUUCGGAACAACUGAGGGAAACUUCAGCUAAUACCGGAUAAGCCCUUACGGGGAAAGAUUUAUCGCCGAAAGAUCGGCCCGCGUCUGAUUAGCUAGUUGGUGAGGUAAUGGCUCACCAAGGCGACGAUCAGUAGCUGGUCUGAGAGGAUGAUCAGCCACAUUGGGACUGAGACACGGCCCAAACUCCUACGGGAGGCAGCAGUGGGGAAUAUUGGACAAUGGGCGCAAGCCUGAUCCAGCCAUGCCGCGUGAGUGAUGAAGGCCCUAGGGUUGUAAAGCUCUUUUGUGCGGGAAGAUAAUGACGGUACCGCAAGAAUAAGCCCCGGCUAACUUCGUGC